CGAUAUUUAAGCGUUACGACGUCAUAUGUCACGGUCACAUUGGACGUGUCGAAUAAAUUUGCAGCGUAAUAUUUAUCAGUCGGGAUUACGACCACGAGACUGACGGCCCAAUAAGAAAUCUGGAACUGAAAGGAAGGAUGAUUUCAUGAGGAGGGUGAACUUACGACUGUUGUUCUUGGACGGGGUUUAACACCGAGAUGAGAUUUUCACAUCCAGCAGCAGAAGCCUGAGAUGGAUAGACAAAGCCAGAUGAGAAUUUCUGGUUAGGGAGACCAAUGCUAUUAUGUUAUGUACAUACACACAACAAUGCAGUCUCAGUCUUAAAACAGCCAUGGGGUUGGUUUUUUGUAGUUUAGGUAGUUAAGGUCAUUGUGGUUUAGUGUACAUAUGAACAGAAAAUAAAUGACACGCUGUCUUGCUAAGGCGUCAGUUCUUAGAGCCAAGAGACUUAAAAGCCUUUGACCAGUUUACUUAAAUACACGCCAAGUCUCAUUCUGAUCGAUGAUUCCAAUAGUAUUGAUAUAGUUCCAGCAAUAAUACUUUCAUUUCACUCGGUGAUGAAGCAGAUCAACCAGAAGAGACGUACAUACGUCAGCAUUGAUAGGAGGAUCCAUCUAUUCAGACCGAGAGGAUGAAACAGAAACCGAAGCUAGGAUUGUCUAAGAAGCAGAGCCAUGUUCUGUCAAUAAAUCACACGGUGGUAUGUAACGAGUUUUUGUUCCACAAAAUUCCAUUAGCAUGAUUUGGUUUCUGGGUAUUUAUGGUCCAUUUAAGACCACCAGACAUCCCACCAUGGUGCACCGCUCGACAGUCGACUGCUUGUUAGAAGAAGGCAAGUUAUUUGACUUGUGAACUUGUCCUCUUUUAAACUUUUGAGUAAAUGUUCGACUCAAAAUUAGUCGAAAUAUAGAAGCAUUUUAAUCUGAGAAUAACCGAUCUAAAUUUGAUGUAGUGAAAUAAUAUGGAAUAAAUUAAGGUUGUAUUUUGAAUUUAUUUUAUACAUGUCAAGAUUCGAAUGUAAUUUAUACCAUUGACCAUAUGUAUACUCAUAAUAACAUGUAAAAAGUCUCGAUACUUGCUUUCCGUGAUUGCUACAUAAUACUCUCUACAUAUUUUGUUUCUUAAUUAUCACAAGUACGACUAAGCUAACCCACAAACGAAGUGGAAUACGGCGAAACUAGUAAUAUAAAAUGAACCUUAU